CGCAGCCGCGGUAAUUCCAGCUCCAAUAGCGUAUAUUAAAGUUGUUGCAGUUAAAAAGCUCGUAGUUGAAUUUCGGGGUCAGUAGAUUGGUCGUGCCACUGGUAUGUACUGGUCUUACUGGCUCCUCCUUCCUGAUGAACCGUAAUGCCAUUAAUUUGGUGUUGCGGGGAAACUGGACUGUUACUUUGAAAAAAUUAGAGUGUUUAAAGCAGGCUAACGCUUGAAUACAUUAGCAUGGAAUAAUGAAAUAGGACGUUCGAUCUUAUUUUGUUGGUUUCUAGGAUUGACGUAAUGAUUAAUAGGGAUAGUUGGGGGCAUUAGUAUUCAAUUGUCAGAGGUGAAAUUCUUGGAUUUAUUGAAGACUAACUACUGCGAAAGCAUUUGCCAAGGAUGUUUUCAUUAAUCAAGAACGAAAGUUAGGGGAUCGAAGACGAUCAGAUACCGUCGUAG
rnacentral:rRNA from 1 species